CUCUAGGAUAUUGUGCCUUAGCAACAGUGGAAAUUGCAAUGGUGGAAAACAGCCAGGUAGCUCCAGGUGCCAUUUUCCUUCCAGAACUACUGAAUGCAAGUUAGCCUCAAAUCAUUUCCAAGGUUGAGCGGCAAAACAGACGGGUCCAUUACUCUGUGAAGGGGAGCUCCCUCAAAUGCCUUUCUUCAACUGAUCCAACCAGAAACAUUUAUGCAGAAGUGAAGAUAGAGAAAGUCAGGCAAAGAAGCCAGCUGAUGGCACGAUUUGCUACUGAUGAGCACUAUGGACACCUGGAGUCUCAGAGGGCCAAGACAAGGCAGUCACUCUGUGCAAGUCACUGCUCAAGAUCACGCUUAUUGGGAAUGAAGAUGUUGCAAUUAUUUGAUGACCUGGCUAAGGAGCAUUCACAGAAGAGACUGAUAAGAAGGAGCCAGCCUUCAUAGACAGUGCCUCUACAAUCAUGUGUGAUGACAAGAAACAACCCACGGAACAGUAUGUAUCAUCUUUCACUGUGUCUGUCGGGAGGUGCUUUAUUUGGGGAAAAAACAGAAAACAAACUCAACUAAAUAUAAUAGAGAGUCAUAACAUACAUUGUUAACCUGAAUAUGGGCAACAGAAAAAUACAUAAUAAAAACAAUGACCUCUUUUGUAGCAAAAGAGGGUUUGGGAGAAAGUUCCCUUCUUUUACUGUAGAAACUCAGCAAU
rnacentral:lncRNA from 1 species